AGCAGUCGCCGCGGGAAUACGAAGGGUGCAAGCGUUACUCGGAAUUACUGGGCGUAAAGCGUGCGUAGGUGGUGGUUUAAGUCCGUUGUGAAAGCCCUGGGCUCAACCUGGGAAUUGCAGUGGAUACUGGGUCACUAGAGUGUGGUAGAGGAUAGUGGAAUUUCCGGUGUAGCAGUGAAAUGCGUAGAGAUCGGAAGGAACAUCUGUGGCGAAGGCGACUAUCUGGGCCAACACUGACACUGAGGCACGAAAGCGUGGGGAGCAAACAGGAUUAGAUACCCCGGUAGUCCCUGUCUCUUAUAU
rnacentral:rRNA from 1 species